GACGAACGCUGGCGGCGUGCUUAACACAUGCAAGUCGAACGGAAAGGCCCUGCUUUUGUGGGGUGCUCGAGUGGCGAACGGGUGAGUAACACGUGAGUAACCUGCCCUUGACUUUGGGAUAACUUCAGGAAACUGGGGCUAAUACCGGAUAGGAGCUCCUGCUGCAUGGUGGGGGUUGGAAAGUUUCGGCGGUUGGGGAUGGACUCGCGGCUUAUCAGCUUGUUGGUGGGGUAGUGGCUUACCAAGGCUUUGACGGGUAGCCGGCCUGAGAGGGUGACCGGCCACAUUGGGACUGAGGUACGGCCCAGACUCCUACGGGAGGCAGCAGUGGGGAAUAUUGCACAAUGGGCGGAAGCCUGAUGCAGCAACGCCGCGUGCGGGAUGACGGCCUUCGGGUUGUAAACCGCUUUCGCCUGUGACGAAGCGUGAGUGACGGUAAUGGGUAAAGAAGCACCGGCUAACUACGUGCCAGCAGCCGCGGUGAUACGUAGGGUGCGAGCGUUGUCCGGAUUUAUUGGGCGUAAAGGGCUCGUAGGUGGUUGAUCGCGUCGGAAGUGUAAUCUUGGGGCUUAACCCUGAGCGUGCUUUCGAUACGGGUUGACUUGAGGAAGGUAGGGGAGAAUGGAAUUCCUGGUGGAGCGGUGGAAUGCGCAGAUAUCAGGAGGAACACCAGUGGCGAAGGCGGUUCUCUGGGCCUUUCCUGACGCUGAGGAGCGAAAGCGUGGGGAGCGAACAGGCUUAGAUACCCUGGUAGUCCACGCUGUAAACGGUGGGUACUAGGUGUGGGGUCCAUUCCACGGGUUCCGUGCCGUAGCUAACGCUUUAAGUACCCCGCCUGGGGAGUACGGCCGCAAGGCUAAAACUCAAAGGAAUUGACGGGGCCCCGCACAAGCGGCGGAGCAUGCGGAUUAAUUCGAUGCAACGCGUAGAACCUUACCUGGGUUUGACAUGGAUCGGGAGUGCUCAGAGAUGGGUGUGCCUCUUUUGGGGUCGGUUCACAGGUGGUGCAUGGCUGUCGUCAGCUCGUGUCGUGAGAUGUUGGGUUAAGUCCCGCAACGAGCGCAACCCUUGUUCACUGUUGCCAGCACGUUAUGGUGGGGACUCAGUGGAGACCGCCGGGGUCAACUCGGAGGAAGGUGGGGAUGACGUCAAGUCAUCAUGCCCCUUAUGUCCAGGGCUUCACGCAUGCUACAAUGGCUGGUACAGAGAGUGGCGAGCCUGUGAGGGUGAGCGAAUCUCGGAAAGCCGGUCUCAGUUCGGAUUGGGGUCUGCAACUCGACCUCAUGAAGUCGGAGUCGCUAGUAAUCGCAGAUCAGCAACGCUGCGGUGAAUACGUUCCCGGGACU
rnacentral:rRNA from 1 species